GCUUAGCUCGGUGGCUGAGAAAGCGAGAGCUUUUUAAUCUCUUUACGGAGUACCUCCUCGGAGCG
rnacentral:tRNA from 1 species